rnacentral:rRNA from 1 species
GACAGAGGGUGCAAACGUUGUUCGGAAUUACUGGGCGUAAAGCGAGUGUAGGCGGUCUCGUAAGUCGGGUGUGAAAGCCCCGGGCUCAACCCGGGAAGUGCGCUCGAAACUGCGCGGCUCGAGUGCCGGAGGGGAGAGUGGAAUUCCUGGUGUAGCGGUGAAAUGCGUAGAUAUACAGGAGGAAUACCGGUGGCGAAAGCGACUCUCUGGACGGCAACUGACGCUGAGGCACGAAAGCGUGGGAGCAAACAGG